rnacentral:rRNA from 1 species
GACGAACGCUGGCGGCGUGCUUAACACAUGCAAGUCGAACGGAAAGGCCCUGCUUUUGUGGGGUGCUCGAGUGGCGAACGGGUGAGUAACACGUGAGUAACCUGCCCUUGACUUUGGGAUAACUUCAGGAAACUGGGGCUAAUACCGGAUAGGAGCUCCUGCUGCAUGGGGGGGGUUGGAAAGUUUCGGCGGUUGGGGCUGGACUCGCGGCUUAUCAGCUUGUUGGUGGGGUAGUGGCUUACCAAGGCUUUGACGGGUAGCCGGCCUGAGAGGGUGACCGGCCACAUUGGGACUGAGAUACGGACCAGGCUCCUACGGGAGGCAGCAGUGGGGAAUAUUGCACAAUGGGCGGAAGCCUGAUGCAGCAACGCCGCGUGCGGGAUGACGGCCUUCGGGUUGUAAACCGCUUUCGCCUGUGACGAAGCGUGAGUGACGGUAAUGGGUAAAGAAGCACCGGCUAACUACGUG